rnacentral:rRNA from 1 species
GAUGAACGCUAGCGGCAGGCCUAACACAUGCAAGUCGAGGGGUAAGAAGAGCUUGCUUUUCUGAGACCGGCGCACGGGUGCGUAACGCGUAUACAAUCUACCUUGUACAGGGGGAUAGCCCAGAGAAAUUUGGAUUAAUACCUCAUAGUGUUAUUGAGUGGCAUCACUUGAUAACUAAAGUUCCAACGGCACAAGAUGAGUAUGCGUCCCAUUAGUUAGAUGGUAAGGUAACGGCUUACCAUGACAAUGAUGGGUAGGGGUCCUGAGAGGGAGAUCCCCCACACUGGUACUGAGACACGGACCAGACUCCUACGGGAGGCAGCAGUGAGGAAUAUUGGACAAUGGGGGCAACCCUGAUCCAGCCAUGCCGCGUGCAGGAUGACGGUCCUAUGGAUUGUAAACUGCUUUUAUACAGGAAGAACCCCUUCUUUGCGAAGAAGACUGACGGUACUGUAAGAAUAAGGACCGGCUAACUACGUGCCAGCAGCCGCGGUAAUAC